rnacentral:lncRNA from 7 species
AUGAAGGCCCCAAAAGCCCCCCAAAAGGCCCCAAAAGGUCCUGGAAGAUCCCCAAAAAGCCCCCCAGAAGGCCCCGAUAGCCCCCCAAAAGGCCCCGAUAGCCCCCCAAAAGUCCCCCAAAAGGCCCCAAAAGGUCCUGGAAGAUCCCCAAAAAGCCCCCCAGAAGGCCCCGAUAGCCCCCCAAAAGGCCCCAAAAGCCCCCCAAAAGGCCCCAGAAGCCCCCAUGAAGGCCCCAAAAGCCCCCCAAAAGGCCCCAAAAGCCCCCCAAAAGGCCCCAAAAGGCCCCAUGAAAGGCCCCAGAAGGCCCCCCAAAAGUCCCCCAAAAGGCCCCAAAAGGUCCUGGAAGAUCCCCAGAAGGCCCCAAAGCCCCGCGCAGGUCCUGGCAGCUCACAGCACUCACUUGUCCCCCCUGCAGCCCCCCAAAAGCCCCCAUGAAGGCCCCAAAAGCCCCCAUGAAGGCCCCGAUAGCCCCCCAAAAGGCCCCCCAAAAAGCCCCCCAGAAGCCCCCCCAAAAGGCCCCUAAAGGCCCUGAUAGCCCCCCAAAAGACCCCAGCAGCCCCCCAAAAGGCCCCAGAAGCCCCCCAGCAGCCCCCCAAAGCCCCCCCCAGGUCCUGGCAGCUGCGCGCACUCACUUGUCCCCCAUGAAGGCCCCAAAAGCCCCCAUGAAGGCCCCAAAAGCCCCCCAAACGCCCCCAAGAGCCCCCAUGAAGGCCCCAAAAGCCCCCCAAAAAGGCCCCGAUAGCCCCCCAAAAGCCCCCCAAAAGGCCCCAAAAGGCCCCCAAAGGUCCUGGCAGGUCCCCUAAAAGCCCCCCCCAGGUCCCGGCAGCUCACAGCACUCACUUGUCCCCCAAAAGGCCCCAGAAGCCCCCCAAAAGGCCCCAAAAGGUCCUGGAAGAUCCCCAGAAGCCCCCCAAAAGGCCCCAAAAGGUCCUGGAAGAUCCCCCAAAAAGCCCCCCAAUAGGUCCCAAAAGCCCCCCCAGCAGCCCCCCAAAAGGCCCCAAAAGCCCCCCAAAAGGCCCUCAUAGCCCCCCAGCAGCCCCCCAAAAGGCCCCUGCAGCCCCCA